rnacentral:rRNA from 1 species
CGCUGGCGGCGUGCUUAACACAUGCAAGUCGAACGGGAUCCAUCGGGCUUUGCCUGGUGGUGAGAGUGGCGAACGGGUGAGUAAUGCGUGACCGACCUGCCCCAUGCUCCGGAAUAGCUCCUGGAAACGGGUGGUAAUGCCGGAUGUUCCACAUGAUCGCAUGUGAUUGUGGGAAAGAUUCUAUCGGCGUGGGAUGGGGUCGCGUCCUAUCAGCUUGUUGGUGAGGUAACGGCUCACCAAGGCUUCGACGGGUAGCCGGCCUGAGAGGGCGACCGGCCACAUUGGGACUGAGAUACGGCCCAGACUCCUACGGGAGGCAGCAGUGGGGAAUAUUGCACAAUGGGCGCAAGCCUGAUGCAGCGACGCCGCGUGAGGGAUGGAGGCCUUCGGGUUGUAAACCUCUUUUGUUUGGGAGCAAGCCUUCGGGUGAGUGUACCUUUCGAAUAAGCACCGGCUAACUACGUGCCAGCAGCCGCGG